AUUGAACGCUGGCGGCAGGCCUAACACAUGCAAGUCGAACGAGUGGCGGACGGGUGAGUAAUGUCUGGGAAACUGCCUGAUGGAGGGGGAUAACUACUGGAAACGGUAGCUAAUACCGCAUACCAUCGGAUGUGCCCAUAUGGGAUUAGCUUGUAGGUGGGGUAAAGGCUCACCUAGGCGACGAUCCCUAUCUGGUCUGAGAGGAUGACCAGCCAAACUGGAACUGAGACACGGUCCAGACUCCGACGGGAGGCAGCAGUGGGGAAUAUUGCAAAAUGGGCGCAAGCCUGAUGCAGCCAUGCCGCGUGUAUGAAGAAGGCCUUAGGGUUGUAAAGUACUUUCAGCGGGGAGGCGUUACCCGCAGAAGAAGCACCGGCUAACUCCGUGCCAGCAGCCGCGGUAAUAC
rnacentral:rRNA from 1 species